AAUAGAUACCCUGGUAGUCCACGCCGUAAACGAUGGAUGCUAGCUGUUAGGAGUAUCGACCCUCCUAGUAGCGUAGCUAACGCGUUAAGCAUCCCGCCUGUGGAGUACGAGCGCAAGCUUAAAACAUAAAGGAAUUGACGGGGACCCGCACAAGCGGUGGAGCGUGUUGUUUAAUUCGAUGGUAAGCGAAGAACCUUACCCAGGCUUGACAUCCUGCCAAAGACUCCGAAAGGAGACUGUGCCUUCGGGCCGCAGUGACAGGUGAUGCAUGGCCGUCGUCAGCUCGUGUCGUGAGAUUGUUUGGUUAAGUCCAUCAACGAGCGCAACCCCUAUGACUAGUUGUAUUUCUCUAGUCAGACUGCCCUGGCAACAGGGAGGAAGGAGGGGAUGAUGUCAGGUCAGUAUCUCCCUUACGCCUGGGGCUACAAACACGCUACAAUGGCCGGUACAAAGGGCAGCCAACCCGGCGAGGGGGAGCAAAUCCCAUCAAAGCCGGUCUCAGUUCGGAUUGCAGGCUGAAACUCG
rnacentral:rRNA from 1 species